AAAGCUUCUUCCUGGCUGGUUGGGCUGCUUGCUCUUGAAGCCUUCAGUCUCUAUGCACGCAGCAUGCCUUCCCAGCCUCCUGUGGUUGUAGAGUGUAUAGAAGGCAGUUGGAUCACUAUGGACAGCGGGUAAGAGCUGAGGAAGCAGCCUCCGCCAGGUGGUAACAUGGAGGACCCUGAAGCAGGCCAAUUAAAUCAAGCAUAUUCCUCAGUAUCAUGGAGAGACUGGAGGUUAGAGACACCAAAACCAUCCCUGGCUUAAUGACUUUGGGAUCCCUGGGCCCCUCCAUGCAGCAGAACGGCAAUUAACCAAGCAAAGGAAGAGAGGGCAGCAGGGCUGAAUCCUGUCAUGGAAUGCUUCCAUCUGCAAGUGGCACAUUUCAGUGGCCAAAGCAAAUUAUGCCAUCCCUGACUUCAAGCCACACCCUGAAUUGUACUCUGUUACCUUAGAAGUAGUGCAUUUGAUGGUUGUUUUGAAAAAAUAAAUGAAUGAAGGAGGACCAGUUCAUAUUACCCUUCAAAAAGGCAUAGACCAUUGGCCAUUCUCUGACCAUCUCAAGCCAGAGGUGACUUGAUCUGUCACCCAGCUGUGGCCCAUGAGCAUUAUCUAAGGAGGAACAUUUUUGCUUACGUUUCCAGUGCUCUACAUAAGCCCUAGGCCCUGGAAAUACUACUUUCAUGGCUCUGGCUAUGAACAUCAGCAUAUAGAGAAUGGAUCACUACCAAAGAAGGCACCCGAAUGUGUCUGUCUCAUCCUGGGGAAACUCAUUCAUCUGUAUAUGUACUCAGCAAGUGUUUCCUGGCACCUGCUCUGGGUCACAGUGCUGGGCACUGGAAGCUGAGAGAUGUGGAAGAAGGCUGGACAUUCAAGGUAUGCACCCACACCUGCCUAGGGGACUCGUACCUGCAAACAAACAAAAGAUCACAGUGCAAGCUGACAAAUACUCUGAUAGAGGUGUGGGAAGAAAUGCUCCAGGAGCUCAGUGGAUUGGUGAAGUUUGCUUCAUUCAUUUAAGCAAAUAAAAAUGGGUUCUGGAUACAUUCAGCAAAAGAUGAUUUGGAAGGCAAGAAAGAUCUUGAUCACCAAGCUUAUGUGCUUGAUCUUGUGCUAUCCAGAGGGCUUCUGGCUAAUUCAUUGAACUUAAAGAUGAGAGAUAUAAUUUUCUUUUACAAAAAGACAAGUUUUCCAAAUUUGCUGACCUUUCCAAUGAUGACAGGUAGCUGUUGCUAUUAGAUAUUUUUGAAAAAGUAAACAUCUGUAAUCUGCCCUUUCAAGGUAAAGGCGAUAUUUUUUUAACAAUGAGUGAGAAAGGAACUGUUUUUUGAAACAGGUUUGUGUGCACAAAAGGAAGAACAUUUUAAAAUGGAUGUUUGAAGUGUUUCCACCAUUACAUGAUCCUAUUGCCUAAAAUUUUGUCAGGGUGUCACUUAUAAAAAUUGUUAUAUCUGUGUUCUAUAAAAACUUGGAAACAAAAUUUCCUAAAGUGUUAAAAAAUCUCCUACAUAAAAAAACCUGGAGGACUUUGUACACAUUUGUUCAAAAUGUAGAAAUGCUGCAUCUUCCAAUUCAUUUGCAGAAAUGAACAAUUGAUACGUGGAAUACAGAGAUCUAGUAAGCAAAUGUUCACAUUGUCUGUAUAAUUGGUAGGUGGGAUUGAAAAUGGGUCUAACAUGUACAAAGUGCAGCCAG
rnacentral:lncRNA from 10 species